CGAGCCGUGCGAGGAGGGACGUCCUCCAGGUGGAGGAACGCUGUCAGGCCGAGGUUGCUCACCUCCAAGCAAAGACGGCCGAAGUAGUCGCCCUCCAAGAGGCCCUGGAAAGAGAGAAACGAGCCUAGGAGGAGGAGAGGCAGACCUUGGAGGAAUCGGCGAGAAAGGCGGAGGUCGAGGUCACCAACUUGAUCGAGCAAACUCCUGUCCUGGUCUCGGAGGCCAG
rnacentral:lncRNA from 1 species